CACCCACCUUUAGAGAUGAGACACAAGCAGGAGAAGAGGGAUUAAACCUGCUAGUUUUGGAAAAAAAAAAAAAAAGGAAAGAAAAGAAAAGAAAGAAAGAAAAACAAAAAACAACAACAAACAGAAAAAUGCAAAACUGCAGAACACGCAGUGGAGGUUGGAUUCAGAGGACAUGGGGAUCAGUGUGGGCUGUGCUGGUCAAGGAGGGCUUCCAGGGAGAGGCAACUGAGGAUUCACUGCAAUUGUUCCUUGAGAAGAUGAGGAUCAGGUCGGGAAUUGGAAACAUCUGAGGGCUCAAUUCAACCUGGCUUCUAAAACGAACAUGGUGGGGAGGAAACAGGGUCCACCCGCUGCUGCACAAGAGGGGUGUGUGCAGACCGUCACCUUGUGUCUGCUGUAGCAGGAGACCCCUGGCCAUGCGGGACUGAACCCAUGAUUGCAGCUGAUCUUACUCUGUCUCUUCUCUGUGUGAGUAAAGUGUUGUUCCAUCUAGUGCCUGUGUGAGUCGUGUCUUUCGUGGCGACACCUAUAAACCAUGGAGUGGGCUGACAUCCUGGUUCUGCUGCUCCUGGUGGCGGGCAUUGUUGUGCUGUUUGCCGUCCUCUACACAGUGCGAAUCUUCUCUACCCUGCCCGAGUCUCGGCAUCUCCACAUGUGCCAUGAGGAUGGUAAUGCUUUACAGAACUGAAGACUCACAUCAAAAUGCUGCCUGCUUCCAUGAGGCUUGUAGUGACAUCCAUGUACAAGUUCAAAGACCCUCUGAGCCAAUUUCCACUUCUCUGCAUGUCUCUGGGGACCUAGGGGACCAGGAUUACUAUAAAAGCAGAGCACAAGAAGGCUGACCUUGAACUCCUCAAGAUGCUUGCUCCUGGGAUUCUCCAGCUGCAAUCAGCAUCCCCCACCCCCACUUGCCUGCGGUUGCUACAUGGGUCAGACAGCAAGGACCACAGGGGCACUAAGUUUGCUGCUGACUCUUGACCUCAGAUGGGCUAUUUGGCCAAGGGCCCAGCUCUCCCUCCAAUGUAGAGGAGGCAGGGAGGCAGGAGCCAGCAAGAAGUUCCUCCAGGCAAAGGGAAAGUGGCAAAGAUACUCAAGAGCUCACAGGUACCUAGCACACAUUGCCCAUGGGCACACAUAUCACUCUGCAAACUAUACACGAAACCCCUGAAAUUCAGGAGUACACAAGCCCCCACAAAAUGUAGGACCACAUGCUUCAAUAUUCACUUUCCAACAUAUUCAGAUCCACAGAAACACAAAUAGCCCCGCGUAAUGUGCAUACAAACACAUCUAUAUCAUGCUGCAACAUGCCCACACUUACACGUUUCCCCCAAAACAGCAUGAAAUCAAUCUGGGCACCUCACUUCUAUGGAAAACUUGCUCUCUGAAGUGUGAACAUUUGUGCACACACACAAAUACACCUACCCUGUAGGUCCAAAUGCCUGGGCAGCAUGCCAGGAAUGGCACCCCUGGGCCUUGCCAGUCAUGGCAG
rnacentral:lncRNA from 1 species